AUUGAACGCUGGCGGCAUGCUUUACACAUGCAAGUCGAACGGUAACAGGCCGCAAGGUGCUGACGAGUGGCGAACGGGUGAGUAAUGCAUCGGAACGUGCCCAGUCGUGGGGGAUAACGCAGCGAAAGCUGCGCUAAUACCGCAUACGAUCUAUGGAUGAAAGCGGGGGACCGUAAGGCCUCGCGCGAUUGGAGCGGCCGAUGUCAGAUUAGGUAGUUGGGGGGGUAAAGGCUCACCAAGCCAACGAUCUGUAGCUGGUCUGAGAGGACGACCAGCCAAACUGAGACUGAGACGCGGCCCAGACUCCUACGGGAGGCAGCAGUGGGGAAUUUUGGACAAUGGGCGCAAGCCUGAUCCAGCAAUGCCGCGUGCAGGAAGAAGGCCUUCGGGUUGUAAACUGCUUUUGUACGGAACGAAACGGCUCUGGUUAAUACCUGGGGCUAAUGACGGUACCGUAAGAAUAAGCACCGGCUAACUACGUGCCAGCCGCCGCGGUAAAAC
rnacentral:rRNA from 1 species